UCAGUCCACAGGCCGACCGACGCUCUAUCCCCUGAGCCAAACCGCUUUUCUUAAUUCUGAAUGACAAGAUGAUUGACAGAAACAAAGAAAAGCUCAUGAAGCAUGCUGGAGUCCUCUAACAUGAUAUGUAGCCUAGAACUUGUAUAGUUACACUCUUUGGGAGCCAUGUUUCUUAAUUUUAAAGAUCCAGAAGGAUAUAAAGCCAAUAAUACCACAGUAAUUGGAGAUUAACUUGAGGGGUGAUUCUAGUGCUGUGAAACAUUGGGAAAGGAAUGCUUCACGCUUCCUGGCACCUAGAAAGAAUUUGCUGUGAAUCAACAAGUCAGUGUAUCAGAAGCCUAGGGAGGAAGUAACCGGAACAAAGUAAAGUAACUUCUAGAAGGUGAUUUAAUGCAUAAAAAUUUCCAUUAGGUGUUGGUACUCUUAGUGAAAUUAGCUGUGGUCCAUUCUUAUACCUCUCCCAGUUGCUUCCUGCUUUCUCCCAUUGUUUUUUGGUGGGGGAACAUUUUCCUGCUUUCCCCAAAUCCACAAACUUUUCCAGCCUUUUCCUUAGUAGUCACAUUCUAGUGUAUUCUUUCCUGUACAGUGUGUGUGUGUGUGUGUGUGUGUGUGUGUGUGUGUGUGUCCCCAGCACUUAAUAAAAAAGAGUCCUGUGUUUGGGGAGUAAGGAGACUCGAGUUUUUUUUCUGACUGCCACUACCCAGUUUGGUAACCUUUCUGGGUCCCUGUUUCCUGACAAGAAAGCUGGAAAAGUUGAACUAGAUAAUACCUAAGGCCUUUGGAUGCUGACAGAGUGUGAUGCUGUGAAUCAUCUUUUUAAAAUGGCGUCUGUUUCAUUUUACUUCCAGAGAAUGAAUCAUCACUAGCCAUUUAGAAGUCAUAGGAGGUCCUUAACUUUUAAAAUAGCCAUUGGUAACUUAAAUGUAGGCAACAAAAAUAAAAAAAAUAAAGUCUAAUUUUUGAAAUUGCACAUUUUAGAUUUCUUUUUCAUAAAAGAAUUUCCUUUAGGAAGAAAAAUAUUCUAAAUCAUAAAUGCCUCUAUUUUAUUACUGUAUCAUCCCCUGUUUUAAGAAAACAUUAUGUGUAUAAUCUAUAUUAAGCAAAUAUAUUUAGAUAAUGAUUACUCAUUUUACAAAUAGAUAUUUUGCUUUGCAGAGGGACUCACUAUAGGGUGUCUUUAUUGUCUUCCUCAUGACUUUAACUCAUUUACAUAAAUUCAACUCAUAAUUUUUAGGAACAAAUCUAUUUUAUAGACUGACUAAAACCAUAUUGAGUCAGAUAUUCAAUGUAUAAUUCUAACCUUUA